rnacentral:misc_RNA from 1 species
GAUGAAGAACGCAGCGAAAUGCGAUAAGUAAUGCGAAUUGCAGAAUUCAGUGAGUCAUCGAAUCUUUGAACGCACAUUGCGCCCUGUGGUAUUCCGCAGGGCAUGCCUGUUCGAGCGUCAUUUCAACCCUCAAGCUCUGCUUGGUGUUGGGCCCUGCCCGCUGCGGCCGGCCCUAAAGACAGUGGCGGUGCCGCCUGGCCCUGAGCGUAGUACAUCUCUCGCUCCAGUGCCCGGUGGUAGCCUGCCAGAACCCCAACUCUCGUGGUUGACCUCGGAUCAGGUAGGGAUACCCGCUGAACUUAAGCAUAUCAAUAAGCGGAG